rnacentral:rRNA from 1 species
UGGGGAAUAUUGGACAAUGGGGGGAACCCUGAUCCAGCCAUGCCGCGUGUGUGAAGAAGGCCUUAUGGUUGUAAAGCACUUUACGCGAGGAGGAGGGUACUGGUAUUAAUACUACCAGCUACUGGACGUUACUCGCAGAAUAAGCACCGGCUAACUCUGUGCCAGCAGCCGCGGUAAUACAGAGGGUGCGAGCGUUAAUCGGAUUUACUGGGCGUAAAGCGUGCGUAGGCGGCUAAUUGAGUCGGAUGUGAAAUCCCCGAGCUUAACUUGGGAAUUGCAUUCGAUACUGGUUAGCUAGAGUGUGGGAGAGGAUGGUAGAAUUCCAGGUGUAGCGGUGAAAUGCGUAGAGAUCUGGAGGAAUACCGAUGGCGAAGGCAGCCAUCUGGCCUAACACUGACGCUGAGGUACGAAAGCAUGGGGAGCAAACAGG